rnacentral:rRNA from 1 species
AGAGCGAACGCUGGCGGCAGGCCUAACACAUGCAAGUCGAGCGCCCCGCAAGGGGAGCGGCAGACGGGAGAGUAACACGUGGGAACGUACCCUUCAGUUCGGAACAACCCAGGGAAAUUUGGGCUAAUACCGAAUACGUCCGUAAGGAGAAAGAUUUAUCGCUGAAGGAUCGGCCCGCGUCUGAUUAGCUAGUUGGUGAGGUAAUGGCUCACCAAGGCGACGAUCAGUAGCUGGUCUGAGAGGAUGAUCAGCCUCACUGGGACUGAGACACGGCCCAGACUCCUACGGGAGGCAGCAGUGGGGAAUAUUGGACAAUGGGCGCAAGCCUGAUCCAGCCAUGCCGCGUGGGUGAUGAAGGCCCUAGGGUUGUAAAGCCCUUUCGGCGGGGAAGAUAAUGACCGGUACCGCAGAAGACGCCCGGCUAACUUCGCGCCAGCAGCCGC